CGUAGGAGUCCGGGCGGAGUCUUCCUGCAAUUAGAGUUAAAGACGAAGUCCGGCUCCCGUAGGAGUCCGGACGGGGCUUACCAGCAGUUGAUGUUGAGGACGGAGCCCGGCUCCCGUAGGAGUCCGGGCGGAGUCAACUUGAGGUCGGAGUUGUCGACGGAGUCCGGCUCCUGUAGGAGUCCGGACGAAGUCUGUCUGCAGCCGUUGGAGUCGAGGACGAAGCCCGACUCCCGUAGGAGUCCGGGCGGAGUCUUCCUGCAAUCAAAGUUAAAGGUGAAGUCCGGCUCCCGUAGGAGUCCGGACAGGGCUUACCAGUAGUUGAUGUUGAGGACGGAGCCCGACUCCCGUAGGAGUCCAGGCGGAGUCAACUUGAGGUCGGAGUUGUCGGUGGAGUCCGGCUCUCGUAGGAGUCCGGACGAAGUCUGUCUGCAGCCGUUGGAGUCGAGGAUGAAGCCCGGCUCCCGUAGGAGUCCGGGCGGAGUCUUCCUUUGAGGUCGGCAUCGUGGGCGGAAUCGUUGAUUCUGUUGAGGACUUCGGCUGUGGGUAUUUU
rnacentral:lncRNA from 1 species